UACAUGUGGGGCAAGCGUUGUUCGGAAUUACUGGGCAUAAAGGGUGCGUAGGUGGUUCGGUAAGUCAGUGGUGAAAUCCUGCGGCCCAACCGUAGAACUGCCAUUGAUACUGUCGGACUGGAGUGCGUGAGGGGUAGCCGGAACGAGUGGUGUAGCGGUGAAAUGCGUAGAUAUCACUCGGAAGGCCAAAGCCGAAGGGAGGCUACUGGCACGCAACUGACACUGAGGCACGAAAGCGUGGGGAGCAAACAGG
rnacentral:rRNA from 1 species